CGGUAAACAGAGGGAAGCGAGCCUGCAGGGGGAGCGAAUCCCAAAAAUAACGUCCCAGUUCGGAUUGUAGUCUGCAACCCGACUACAUGAAGCUGGAAUCGCUAGUAAUCGCGGAUCAGAAUGCCGCGGUGAAUACGUUCCCGGGUCUUGUACACACCGCCCGUCACACCAUGGGAGUCGGAAAUGCCCGAAGUCUGUGACCCAACCUUAGGGAGGGAGCAGCCGAAGGCAGGUCGGAUGACUGGGGUGAAGUCGUAACAAGGUAUC
rnacentral:rRNA from 1 species